GGUGAACGCUGGCGGCGUGCUUAACACAUGCAAGUCGAACGAUGAAGCCCAGCUUGCUGGGUGGAUUAGUGGCGAACGGGUGAGUAACACGUGAGUAACCUGCCCUUAACUCUGGGAUAAGCCUGGGAAACUGGGUCUAAUACCGGAUAGGAGCGUCCACCGCAUGGUGGGUGUUGGAAAGAUUUAUCGGUUUUGGAUGGACUCGCGGCCUAUCAGCUUGUUGGUGAGGUAAUGGCUCACCAAGGCGACGACGGGUAGCCGGCCUGAGAGGGUGACCGGCCACACUGGGACUGAGACACGGCCCAGACUCCUACGGGAGGCAGCAGUGGGGAAUAUUGCACAAUGGGCGCAAGCCUGAUGCAGCGACGCCGCGUGAGGGAUGACGGCCUUCGGGUUGUAAACCUCUUUCAGUAGGGAAGAAGCGAAAGUGACGGUACCUGCAGAAGAAGCACCGGCUAACUACGUG
rnacentral:rRNA from 1 species